GAAAUUGAAAACGGCAUAACGCUUUUUUAAGUUUUUACCUUCUUCCGUUGAAGCAGGCAAAAUCAUAGCUCUAUAAGGACCAUCAACCUCAAAAAAAAUGCUGUUUUCACUAGUUGUUUCAUACACCAAUUUCUCUGGGUCCUUUAAGGCAGAAUAUUGAUGAUUGGUGAACUUUUCAUGAACCAGGUGAUUUAACAUAACGCAUGGAUAAGAGAUAAAAACCUUUCCUCCGGAUUUCUUUUUAAAUUCAAAGUUUUCAGGAAACGAUUCUGGAAGAAUACACCAAAUACCAUCUGUGUCAAGUUCCAAUGGCCUACCUGCACGUUCAACUAUUUGACGAGCCAUCUGAAUAAUCGUAGCGCCUGUCAAACAUGUGAUACCAGCCAUUUCAAUCGAAUACCAACGGGAGCCUUUUCGCAUGACAUAUCCAUAGAAAGAGUUUAAAAUAACUUUGUGAGCUAACUGUAAAGAAUCGUAGAGUACGACCAUCUUUUUGGCCUCCUCUA